rnacentral:rRNA from 1 species
GCCAGCCGCCGCGGGAACACCGGCGGCCCGAGUGGUGAUCGUGAUUAUUGGGUCUAAAGGGUCCGUAGCCGGUUUGGUCAGUCCUCCGGGAAAUCUGAUAGCUCAACUAUUAGGGCUUUCGGGGGAUACUGCCAGACUUGGAACCGGGAGAGGUAAGAGGUACUACAGGGGUAGGAGUGAAAUCUUGUAAUCCCUGUGGGACCACCUGUGGCGAAGGCGUCUUACCAGAACGGGUUCGACGGUGAGGGACGAAAGCUGGGGGCACGAACCGGAUUAGAUACCCGGGUAGUCCCAGCCGUAAACGAUGCUCGCUAGGUGUCAGGCAUGGCGCGACCGUGUCUGGUGCCGCAGGGAAGCCGUGAAGCGAGCCACCUGGGAAGUACGGCCGCAAGGCUGAAACUUAAAGGAAUUGGCGGGGGAGCACAACAACGGGUGGAGCCCUGCGGUUUAAUUGGACUCAACGCCGGACAACUCACCGGGGGCGACAGCAAUAUGUAGGCCAAGCUGAAGACUUUGCCUGAAUCGCUGAGAAGUGGUGCAUGG